rfam:Strongyloides venezuelensis genome assembly, scaffold: SVE_scaffold0000099
UCUCUGGUAGUAUAGUGGUGAGUAUCCGCGCCUGUCACGUGCGAGACCGGGGUUCGAUUCCCCGCCAGAGAG